GUGCCAGCAGCCGCGGUAAUACAGAGGUGGCAAGCGUUGUUCGGAAUUACUGGGCGUAAAGGGCGCGUAGGCGGUUCGUCAAGUCCCGUGUGAAAUCCCUCGGCUCAACCGAGGAACUGCGCGGGAAACUAGUGAGCUUGAGUUCGGGAGAGGGAAGCGGAAUUCCGGGUGUAGCGGUGAAAUGCGCAGAUAUCCGGAGGAACACCGGUGGCGAAGGCGGCUUCCUGGACCGACACUGACGCUGAGGCGCGAAAGCUAGGGGAGCAAACGGGAUUAGAUACCCUGGUAGUCC
rnacentral:rRNA from 1 species